GUUUGUGGUUUUGUUUUUUUUAAAUGAAAUACUUCUGCUGUUGUUUCCUGUAUUUCCCACUACCAGGUCCUACUUCUUGCACAUCUCAGUGCUGGUGAGACUUUGAGAAGCCACAAGUACUCUGUCCAACAAGGAGAGUUUUGGUGAGACAGUCUCCAUGUGCAAAACCCGAAGAGACCAAGUGCACCGUGCAGAGGAAGACAUCAAUUUCACCUGACCCCCAUUUGGACUGUUCUCUAAACUAUCAAAGCAUCUUCCCAUCGAAAGUCAAAGAAAGCUGAUUUUAGCUUUCAGCUGCAUUAGCAGCUUCCUCAAUGAGAGAGUGGAAAAGAAAAUCACCUCUCUGAUGAGGGUUUCUGGUGCCACUGCUGGUGAAAAAAGAAAAGCUGGUGAAGUCCUUAGAAGAAGCUGGUGAAGUCCUUAGAAAUCAAGUUCCAGUGUGGAGAACCUUUUUGCAGGCACACCAGCAGCUGCUUCAGCAUCCAGCCCACCUGGAGGUGAGAGGCAACGGG
rnacentral:lncRNA from 1 species